UGCCGGUGAUGACAGCGUAUGGCAUGAGUCUCGGUAACUAAUUUGCGCUUCGGGUAAUCUUUUGCCCGAGUUAUCGGCGACUAAGAUUAAUGUGCCAAAAUGCUAAUCUGAGGCCA
rnacentral:snoRNA from 1 species